UACGAAGGGUGCAAGCGUUACUCGGAAUUACUGGGCGUAAAGCGUGCGUAGACGGUUAUUUAAGUCGGAUGUGAAAGCCCCGGGCUCAACCUGGGAAUUGCAUUCGAGACUGAAUAGCUAGGGUGCGGUAGAGGGAAGCGGAAUUUCCGGUGUAGCGGUGAAAUGCGUAGAUAUCGGAAGGAACAUCAGUGGCGAAAGCGGCUUCCUGGACCAGCACCGACGUUCAGGCACGAAAGCGUGGGGAGCAAACAGG
rnacentral:rRNA from 1 species